GCCAGACUCCUACGGGAGGCAGCAGUGGGGAAUAUUGCACAAUGGGGGAAACCCUGAUGCAGCGACGCCGCGUGAGUGAGGAAGUAUUUCGGUAUGUAAAGCUCUAUCAGCAGGGAAGAAAAUGACGGUACCUGACCAAGAAGCCCCGGCUAACUACGUGCCAGCAGCCGCGGUAAUACGUAGGGGGCAAGCGUUAUCCGGAUUUACUGGGUGUAAAGGGAGCGUAGGCGGCUGUGUAAGCCAGAAGUGAAAGCCCGGGGCUCAACGCCGGGACUGCUUUUGGAACUACAUGGCUUGAUUGCAGGAGAGGCAAGUGGAAUUCCUAGUGUAGCGGUGAAAUGCGUAGAUAUUAGGAGGAACACCAGUGGCGAAGGCGGCUUGCUGGACUGUAAAUGACGCUGAGGCUCGAAAGCGUGGGGAGCAAACAGGAUUAGAUACCCCUGUAAAA
rnacentral:rRNA from 1 species